UCCCAGACUCCUACGGGAGGCAGCAGUGGGGAAUAUUGCACAAUGGGGGGAACCCUGAUGCAGCGACGCCGCGUGGGUGAAGGAGCACCUCGGUGCGUAAAGCCCUCUCGGCAGGGAAGAAACAGACGGUACCUGACUAAGAAGCCCCGGCUAACUACGUGCCAGCAGCCGCGGUAAUACGUAGGGGGCAAGCGUUAUCCGGAUUUACUGGGUGUAAAGGGAGCGUAGGCGGUUUAGCAAGUCAGAAGUGAAAGCCCGGGGCUCAACUCCGGGACUGCUUUUGAAACUGUUGAACUAGAUUGCAGGAGAGGUAAGUGGAAUUCCUAGUGUAGCGGUGAAAUGCGUAGAUAUUAGGAGGAACACCAGUGGCGAAGGCGGCUUACUGGACUGUAAAUGACGCUGAGGCUCGAAAGCGUGGGGAGCAAACAGGAUUAGAUACCCGAGUAA
rnacentral:rRNA from 1 species